UAGUGGCGAACGGGUGAGUAACACGUGGGCAAUCUGCCCUUCACUCUGGGACAAGCCCUGGAAACGGGGUCUAAUACCGGAUACGACCACCGACCGCAUGGUCUGGUGGUGGAAAGCUCCGGCGGUGAAGGAUGAGCCCGCGGCCUAUCAGCUUGUUGGUGGGGUGAUGGCCUACCAAGGCGACGACGGGUAGCCGGCCUGAGAGGGCGACCGGCCACACUGGGACUGAGACACGGCCCAGACUCCUACGGGAGGCAGCAGUGGGGAAUAUUGCACAAUGGGCGAAAGCCUGAUGCAGCGACGCCGCGUGAGGGAUGACGGCCUUCGGGUUGUAAACCUCUUUCAGCAGGGAAGAAGCGAGAGUGACGGUACCUGCAGAAGAAGCGCCGGCUAACUACGUGCCAGCAGCCGCGGUAAUACGUAGGGCGCAAGCGUUGUCCGGAAUUAUUGGGCGUAAAGAGCUCGUAGGCGGCUUGUCACGUCGGAUGUGAAAGCCCGGGGCUUAACCCCGGGUCUGCAUUCGAUACGGGCAGGCUAGAGUUCGGUAGGGGAGAUCGGAAUUCCU
rnacentral:rRNA from 3 species